rnacentral:rRNA from 1 species
CGAACGCUGGCGGCGUGCUUAACACAUGCAAGUCGAACGGAAAGGCCCUGCUUUUGUGGGGUGCUCGAGUGGCGAACGGGUGAGUAACACGUGAGUAACCUGCCCUUGACUUUGGGAUAACUUCAGGAAACUGGGGCUAAUACCGGAUAGGAGCUCCUGCUGCUUGGUGGGGGUUGGAAAGUUUCGGCGGUUGGGGAUGGACUCGCGGCUUAUCAGCUUGUUGGUGGGGUAGUGGCUUACCAAGGCUUUGACGGGUAGCCGGCCUGAGAGGGUGACCGGCCACAUUGGGACUGAGAUACGGCCCAGACUCCUACGGGAGGCAGCAGUGGGGAAUAUUGCACAAUGGGCGGAAGCCUGAUGCAGCAACGCCGCGUGCGGGAUGACGGCCUUCGGGUUGUAAACCGCUUUCGCCUGUGACGAAGCGUGAGUGACGGUAAUGGGUAAAGAAGCACCGGCUAACUACGUG